UAUGUAUGUUUGUUGAUGUGUCGAUGAGUACAACAUCAACCUUUGGUCCAUUUUUAGGAGGAUGUGAAGCAGAUCCUCAGCUCUUCUUCAUCGAAGACCAUCUUCGAUCUCUCAUCUUGUAAAUUAUUAGUAACAGAAAACAAGAAAAACACACUAGUUAAGAGGCGAGAUUUUGAGCGAGUCAAAAAGAGGAAGAAGAAUCAUGGCUGUUGUUGAAUCAACCAGUCCAGAUUCAGCUGUUGUUGCAUCAUCAGCAUCUACACCGGCAUCCAACGGAGAGAAUCAGCCGAAGCAAAACGGAGUCUCCAUGGUGAGACCGCACGAUCAGGGCUUGUACGUCACUGGUAACAACCAAAACAAUCAUGGAUCCAACGGAGGAGGUGACUUCAAGCAUGAUAUGAGGGAGUUACAAGAGCUUUUCUCCAAGCUCAACCCCAUGGCUGAAGAGUUUGUUCCUCCUUCACUUGCUAAAACUAAUGGAUUCACUGGAGGUUUCUUCGCAAACAACUUGCAUCUUUUGCAUAACCCAAACACUGGAAAUGGAAAUGUUAAUGCCAACGCCGCUCUUCGACGGAAGAAAAGCUUUGGCCAGGGCAAACGGAGAAUCAACAGCAGGACUAGUAUGGCCCAGCGGGAUGAGAUAAUUCGGAGGACUGUAUAUGUAUCUGACAUUGAUCAACAGGUCACUGAAGAGCAGCUCGCAGCUCUAUUUGUAAGUUGUGGCCAGGUUGUUGAUUGCCGUAUUUGUGGUGAUCCUAAUUCUGUACUUCGUUUUGCCUUUAUUGAGUUCACUGAUGAAGAAGGUGCAAGGGCUGCUUUAAAUCUGGCAGGAACAAUGCUUGGAUUUUACCCUGUCAGGGUGCUGCCUUCCAAAACAGCUAUUGCUCCAGUUAACCCAACAUUUUUGCCCAGGAAUGAAGAUGAACGUGAAAUGUGUGCAAGAACUAUCUAUUGUACAAAUAUCGAUAAGAAGGUCACUCAAGCAGAUGUGAAACUCUUUUUUGAAUCAGUCUGUGGAGAGGUUUAUCGCCUGAGGCUGCUAGGAGACUAUCACCAUUCUACUCGCAUUGCUUUUGUGGAGUUUGUAAUGGUUAGAGGAAUUUCUAUGAAGGCCAUUGGCAUAAUGAAGGGUUUUCCUUAUGCUUAUGAAGGGCUUAAUAAAGGGCUUUCAGGCUGAAAGUGCAAUUGCUGCUCUCAACUGUAGUGGUGUGGUUCUUGGUUCAUUGCCAAUUAGGGUAAGCCCAUCAAAGACGCCUGUGAGGCCACGUGCUCCUCGUCUUCCCAUGCAUUGAAUCAUCCUGAUGGUCCCGAUGGAUUCUAGUGCCAGUUUAUAUAUAUUUAGAUACAUACACACACCAAUGUAAAGAUGUUCUCAUCUCUGGUCUGUCUGUUUUAUAUACUUUUGUCCGUGGCAUCUCUGCCUGGGAAGUUCGUUGUCAUAGGGUUUAUGUUUUGUUUGUUCUGGCAAAUAUAGAGUUGGAUGGUACUUCGAGGCUUUAGAGAUUUCAUAUAUUAUUGCUCGUUGUUAUGGAAUGGAUGAUGCUUGUUCCAAACAUGGGCUUUUAUUAGUAACACCUGACAUUUUAAUCA